GUCUUGGUGGCUCAGUUGGUCAGAGCGUUGGUCUCAUAGAAAAGGUAUGAAGCACUCUCAGAGUGAGCUAUCCAAAGGUCGUGAGUUCGAACCUCAUCCAGGACA